rnacentral:lncRNA from 1 species
GUUGUUUUGCAUGGGAAGAGAGUGGCAGCUCCUGUGUGUCGAGCAUAAAAGAAAUAAGCGAGAAAGGGUAAUGCAUGGCUGUUUCAUGAGCCCUUCAUUACUCAUGCAAUUAGAGAGUUGCAUUGGAGAAUAAGAGGGGCUUGUAAAUUGAAUUAAGUGGAAACAUUUGCUGCAGUUUUCUGCAUGAGAGAAAAGGAAGAUGCACCAUUGGGAGGAGAAGUGAUGACCUGCUCAUGUGAGCAAGGGGGAGGAGAUAUUGCUGGUUGUAAUUUUCUACAUGCAUGCAAAUAAAACAAUGGAGUAAAGCAAUAGAAAUAAUAGAGGUGAGUCAAUAGGAGAAUGAAUGGGUGCACAUUAAUAUUGAGCAGGAGGAGAAGGGAGAGGCGCCCUUGGCAGUAAGGGAGGAGGAAGAGAAGAGGUAUGGCUACCUGUUGCAUGCACACUGAUGGGAUAAAGGAUACUCAAAGGAGAGGAUUAAACAAAGGUGUUACCAUUGUAAUUUAAGCGGAAGAAUUAGUUGUUGUUGUUCUCUUGCAUGAGAGAAAAAGGAGUAAACGUGGGGGUAGCCAGAGCAUAGAUGGCUGCAUGCCAUUGGAAGUAAAGGAAAACAAAUGAAGGAGUGAAGUGUGUCUAAAAAAAUAAAAAGAAAGAAUUAUUGAGCAGUCGCCGUAGAGAUGAGAAGGGUGAUUUCUCCACAUGAAAGAGACAAAUUAAUCAAUGGGCUAAAGAGUUAAAUGCUGCUGUUAUUUUACAUGAAGGACAGAUGUCAUGAGGAGAAGAGAAAGAGAUUCAUGGCUGCCAUUACAUACAACUGAUGAGAUGGGAUAAAGAUAUACUUGAUGGAGUCAAGGAAAUUAAUAUAGGAAUUAUCUUUGCAUGGAGAAGAGGGGAAGUGUUGGUGUAGCUGCAAAAGUUAACU